GGGCAAGUGCCUGUGUAAGUCAGCCUUGAUACACAAAAAACAGAAAUUAAAAGAUGUCUUUGAAAUUUGAAGUCUGCAAGUAGAUUGCGGCAUUGUUUAAAAAAGUGCAUAUCUUCAGCAUCAGACAAGGGCCUUCAGCUCUGCAUCUGGACUGUUACUUCCAUUCCUAAACAUUUAUUAAACAUUUUUGCCUCUAGUUUGAGGUCUGAGAUGAGAUGGGAGAAACUUCCAGCAGAAGGUCUAUUUUACAGGAUGUUCUUCACUAGAUAGGAACUUUAUUUUUUGAACAGAAGAGUCACAUACCUAUCCAAGGCCACCCAUGUAGACAGGAAAAGAGGCAGAAGAAGUGACCAGGAGAGUGUGCAAAGCCUCGGUGAUAUGCAGAAUGACUGAAUUAAAUUCAAGAAGAAAAAUUAAUCAGUGAAGAGUGAAUAUGGUUCAUCUUUCAGGAUCCAAGCAAUGGAAAAGACUGAGUUAUUGGAUGGACACCAUGGGAUGCCAAAUGUACAAAUUGCCUUGCAGCUCAAGAGUCUGUGAAGAAUCCUGACCAAAGCUUCUAUGACCACAUGAACUUUUGGGGACCUGCCAAGCAAUCCAAAGAUGUUCAUGGUGAUAUGUGAAUAUGUUGAAAAUUGCACUGUGGGAAGAACCCCUUUUUUACUAAAAAGGGCAAAACAUGCACAACAUCCUUGGGGAAACUGGAGCUGGA
rnacentral:lncRNA from 1 species